GAGAAACAGAGAAGAGAAACUUACUUGUGUUUUGUUUUCAUCUUUCUUCCAUUGGUUUAUAUUUUCCCUCCAUUCCACUGUAAAGUGUAGACCAAACAACACUUACAGAUCUCCCCCUUCCCAGGUUUGCCCGUGGCCCGUGACCCGUGCCCCCAUUUCCUGAACCAGCGGGGCGAACACCACUUCCAGGGGCCCCCUCCCCCGCGGGGCGACGCACGGGACUCGAGACCGCUGCUGAAGGCUGGCUGACAGCUGGACUGUCCCGCCACUGUGUGCAGGCUAGUCGGACAGGUGGCCUACCGGGGAGCACACUGUAUCCCCUCCUGCCCUGCAGACACACACAGCUGCUGAACCUCAGCACCCAGGAGGACACAGCCGCUGCCUCCCCUGCCAAGCGCCGCAUGGCCAUGCUCAGCGCGCCACGCCUGGAAGAAGAAGCAACAGUGACACCAAGAUGAAGGCCGUUCCCACUCCCUCGACAAGCCUGAGUGUCUAUAAGCAGGGAAACUAAAAGCGUCUUGAUAAUUCUCUGGAACAAGUUAUUUGAUUUCUGUAGAGCAUUCUGUCCCUCAGGUGUACACCAGACUCCAAUAAACAUCCUGUUGGGGAAA